UAGGGUCUGAUCGCUGCCUGAGACACCAUAUCGGUACUCCUCAGAGUUGGUUGUAAUUGCAGUGGAAGGGGAGACCAAACAUUCAAAGAUUGCUGAAGAGCCAACGAACUCUGAUUCUGUCAAGAUGAUGUCUUUGAUUUCUUUCACAAACUUCAGUGGCACAGCCUUUAGCUGGUCUUUUUCUUAGAACUUUAAAGACAAAAAGGUUUAUAUGUAAACCAAGACAAACUAAUGAAGAUGUUGAAUAAGCUUGACAAAUGCAAAUAAUGUACAAAGCAAGGAAAAUGAAAAAAAGCAUGCUACCUAGCACUCUGGAAAUUUAGGAAAAUGCAAGAAGACAUAUGUAGAUGAGACAAAGAUAGACCAUGUCUAUACAUGUAUGAAAUGGAUGGGAGACAAAGGAAGCAACACUCAAUGAGCCAGGACCAUAAAAGCCACAGAAAUAUAAGAAAUGAAUGGGACUACUCUCUGAUCAUUGAAAAAGAGAGACAGAACAUUCGAUGGAGGCAGAAAGAGCGAGGAGUCAGCAGCAGGCAUGGCAUGACAAGCAACCCAGGAACCAUGGGGCAGCAGAAGACACAGCUCUAUGCAAUCUCACAGUACAAUCAUGUCUGAAAGUACACACUUCUAAAAGUCAUACAUUUCUUGCAAGCAUCAUUUCAG
rnacentral:antisense_RNA from 1 species